GCAUUCAAAUAAAAUCAUAAUUAGCUCAAUUCAAUCUCACAAUACAAAUCGGAGUUUCACUAAAUUAGUCAACAGGAAAAAGAAAAAGUGUCUACCCACUCAUGAUGAGUUUAAUGCAACACAAAGUUUCUUUGAAUGAUGGAAAGAGGAAGGAGAAAAGUGCAAAAAAUUUCCAGAUGCUGCAGUGUGUGGUGUGAGGAAGAAGAUGAUGUCUAUUCUCUACUGGCGACCUGUUUUAUAGACAGAAGGAUUAGUUUCCUUUUGGGAUUCCUCCCAAUGAUUUUGAUGCCUUGCUUGCUUACCAAAAAUUAUCUUCCCCUUGAUUUUUGGUUGCCAAUCCAGGUUGCAGCGAGAUUCUUUCUUUUGAAUUUCAAGAGCGUGCCUUUUUCAAGUCGGUUGCCGCACGUGACGUAAGCCUUGGCCAAGGCUUGGUCACAUAUGAAUUGGGUCUCUCUCUUGUUACCUUUGUGUUAGUUAUGCCAAAGGGUUAAUUGUGCAUCUUUCUUUUUGCUACGAUGUAAGCCUUGACUAAGGCUUACUUAAGCAAACCCACGAGUUGUAAUUUCGUUGAUACCUUAGACUUGCUUGAGGCUUGAGUGAAUGGGAACCAGAGUCUGCUGCUGCUUACUGGGCCUAAGCGUUGCUAGAGGCUUAUUCUUGGUCUGACAGCUUCUUCAUGAAAUACACCUCCUUUCUAUUUUUUUUUUCUAAUUUCAAUCCUAUCUUCUGUCCUGCAUCAAAAUGAAUGGAAUAGCUUAAAUCAAACAUCAAUUAUUCCAAUUAAGUACUAAAAACUGGAUAACAAAUAUGAUCUUUUUAUGCACUAUCACAUAUCAAUUAACGAUGCAAAGAUAUUAUACGCUGUAAUCUUAUGACAAAUCAAUGAAUUCCUCAAGUUCUUAUCAUGGAAGAUAGGAUAACCUUCAAACAAAAUACUUGAGGUCUGAAAAUGCUAAAGCUAGCAAAAAACUAGAAGCAAUGAUCCUCUCCCUCUCACAGAUAUUCGAUUAAGAGAGGAUGAGGGAUAUUGGACUUAUGGUAGUGGAUACUGUCCUAUAUGAUCAACUCGUCCUAGAUAGCUCCAGUUGCCACUCAUUUAAUAUCCAAGGAACUACUAACAGAGCCUCAAAUUAUUAUCUUCUCAAAACACCAAAUGGAAAUAUGGUUAGAGGGUUUAUUUCAUGAAAGCAUUAUGUACCAAUUAAUGAUUAUGCAGCCUCCUUUUAUUUAUGUUAUUUGUAGUAGGAAUGCAAACCCCAAACAAUGUCCAACCAAGAAAGUCAAGUGAGGGAUGGCCUUAUGUUUCUAAAUUUGUUUCCAAAGAGAAAAUCUUGGUUAGGCCAUAAUUUUUCUCUCAAAAAAUAGAUCUAGUUGUACUUAACAUGACACAAUGGAAUGAUUUCAUGUCGGGACAUCUUUUUCACUAGAAAUGCC
rnacentral:lncRNA from 1 species